rnacentral:lncRNA from 1 species
UCGCUCUCUGCCCCACUGUUUCAGACUCUUCUCGUUGUAGAUGUCCCUGCCGAAUCUGAUCCUCGGCGAUAGAUUUGAUUGCUUCACAUUGGCAAUCAUUUCUCACUUGCUCCACUUGAUUGCAGCACUGCUGGAGCUGCCGUGUCUCCUGCUGCUGGUUCUCAUCUCUAGGCAUCCUUAACACUUUUUCUCCUGGUGACCUUCUUGAACUUGAUUGUCUUAUGUAUUGCUCGCAGGAGCUCAAGUCCUUCCUCUGAAUUUCCUGGCGGCAUUGCUGCGGGUGAGACCCUUCCCUUUCACCCUUUGAAUCGUCAAUCUCAAUGGUGGUGAUGGUGGUUCUGUGAGCGAAAGAGGCAUCGGCAAUGAUGAACAACAGAACACUAAAGAGAGCAAUUGUGGAUACGAGCUUUGCCAUUGUUACUGAAUAUGAAAGAGCUGAUUUUAUAGAAUAUAUCGGACGAUAGAAUGGGUUUUUAUAGGACAAUUCAGGGGAAUGCAUGUCGGAAACGUGUAGAUUUAUGGAAUCGCCAGUCAUUUCUAACAUUUUUAUGGGGUGGCUACAUCUGUUUCUGUGGUAUGCAUCAUUCUUACUCGUAGGACUGCAGUAUGUAGUAAUUCUUAUGGAUUUUGUGUUUGAUGUUAGCUAGAGUAUCUGUACGUGGUUGCAUUUAGUGACUCUUAUUACUUAAAAUAAACUAUUCAAAAUAUUUGUUACACAUCUACCUAUAGUUAUUACAUUAUCGUUAUAUGUUUGCUUUAAUUGAGUGAGCAAAAAGACAUAUUAGCACAUUGUACCUAACAAUCAAAUACAUGCAUAUUUGAUUUAAGUCACAAUUACAGUAUAUAUUUAAAGAAAACAAAAGUAUGCUCUUAAUACCAGAAAGUAAAAUUAUUUUUGGUUCGACUUUAUCUAGUUAGAGAACUAAUACUAAUCUUAAAUUUACUGAUGAAUAAAAUUAAAAAUAAAUAGAAGUGAUUAAAUGAUGAAUGAGUCAAUUGAGCCAAAGAGUUUUUUUGUUGUUAUUAUACCAAAUUAAGUUAGAAUAAAGAAACAAGAAAAAUACAAAAGUCUUUUUCAUUAGUCUAAUUAUUUAUGUACAAUGAAUAAGAAAUGUUACCAAUUCUCCUUUAUUAUAGUUAUAUCUAUUAUAAGAUAUUCUUAAGAUACCAAAAUGAUAUUUUUAAUAUACUUUCUUUUCUAUGUUUAUUAAUACUGUGUCAUAUUAAAGUAAAUUUAUAUUUAAUUUUUGUAAUAAAAUAUCUAAAAGAUACUUUCAGUAUACCUAAAAAAUACCAUAUAGUAUAAACAGUAUAUAGGUGAUUUAAAAAAAUAAAAAAUAUCAACAACAGUACACUAAUAAGAUAUUGUUUAAUAUACUUUUAGGUGUAUAUUUAUGAAUGCUUUAAUUAAAGUUAUAUCAUUACUCAGUUGUAUAAAAAGAUGCUAAGAAUAUAUUAAAUAUUUAUUGGAUUAUAAUAUUUAUUUAAAGAUAACAAAAGUAUGCUUGUAAUAUACCAAAAAGUUAAAAUAUUUUUGGUCUGACUUUGUUUAGUUACAAAACUAAGUCUAGUCUUAAAUUUACUGAUGAUGAAAAUUAGAAAAUAAAUAGAAGUGAUUAAAUGAAGAAUGAAUCAAUUGAGCCAAAGAGGUCUUUUUGUUAUUAUACCAAGUUAAGUUAAUGGAAUAAAGAAAUAUGAAAAAAGAAGAAGUUCUUAGCUUUUUCAUUAAUUUGAUCAUUUAUGUACGAUGAAUAAAGAAUUCUAGCGGUUCUCAUUUAUUAUAGUUAUAUCUAUUACAAAGUACUCUUAAGAUACCAAAUCGAUAUGUUUAAUAAAUCUUUUUUCUCUGUUUAUCAAUACGGUAUCAUAUUAAAGUAAAUUUAUUUUUCUGAUUAUUUUGUAAUAAGAUAUCAAUAUGGUGCUAUACCGGCUUUUUCAUUAUCUUUUGGAUAUCUUACUUUUUCAUUAUCAAUACUUGAUCUAAAAUUUGAGUUAGUAUGGUAUUACUUGUAGUUAAAUGCAAGAGUAUUUGUUUUAAAUGAACUUAAGAAAAAUAUGUAGUUAGUAUGGUAUUACUUGUAGUUAAAUGCAAGAGAAUGACCUUAAAAAAAUAUGUAGUGUAUAAGAUAUUAAAGCUAGCUAAGAAGAACGAGUAAAAAUGCUCCAUCAGAUUAUUAGGCCGGUUCAUAAAAGUGGGCAUUCAGAUUAAUUUUCCAUAAAGUGAUUUAGAAUUUGAGUUAGUAUGGUAUUACUUGUAGUUAAAUGCAAGAGUAUUUAUUUUAAAUGAACUUAAAAAAAAUAUAUAGAAUAUAAGACAUUAAAUCUAGCUAAGAAGAACGAGUAAAAAUGCUCCAUCAGAUCAUUAGUUCAUUCUUAAGAGGUGAUUUUUCAUUAAAUAUAAUUAUUAGAAAUGGUUCUUUCUUUAUCAUAAAGAGAGCAUGAAUAUGCAUUUCUUUUCAUAUGGAUCAACUCCAGCUUGAUGUAUUGAAUCUUAACCAAUAUCAACAAUAAGACUUAUGCAUCUUGACAAGCAUGAACAUAACUUUAGGAGUGAGCAUCAUAUAGACUUCAAAAAUGAUUAUAUUAAUACGAUUUGAAAUAUAUUAAUGAAACCCAAAUGAAUAAAAGAAAAUAAAAAUGUGAGUGUUGCAUUUUAAAUUUCUUAUGGUGACAUUCUAUCGCCCUUGCAAUUUUUUCUCUCUGUAAUUUUCUUUCUAUAUGCAAAUUUAGUAACAUUAUGAUUAAUUAAUUGCUAAAUUAUGAAUAAUAAUUACCUAGGUUAAAUAAACCUCUCAGGUGGUGCAAUGAAUUUAAUAUGAGCUUUUAUAUGAUAUAUUGCAUUGUAAUGAGUUACAUAUAUAUAUAUAAAUCAAAGGUUGUAAUGGGGAUUAUAUGUUUUGAGUUUCAAUUGUAGAAAUUAGACUUAUUUCAUGGGAGAAUUAGUUCGAUUUAUAGAAGAGAUGUUGCUAAAUCUUUCGUAGAAUUAAUUAGAAUAAGAAAAUAAUUAAUAGGAUUAUAUAAAAUUAAUUAGAAUUGGAUAUUAGAUAUUAGAAAUUAAAAAUUAUUUAAAGAUUAUCAGAAGAUAGGAUAUAAAUUUAUUUCUAAAAUUUUAUUUUUAUAUAUGAUUUAUAGGAUUAAGUAUUCGAAAGUUAUUUGGAGAGAAAGGUUAUCAGAAAAUUUNNNUAAUCCGGCGUGUUAUCUAAAACGUGUCAUUUAAAACAUGAAAAAAUCUCAAUCCAUAAUUUAUAUCCUAUAAAUUAUAAUAUAAAUUAUAAUUUAUAGGAUUCAUUAUUGAUAGGACUGAUAUAAAGUCUACAUAUGAAAAUAAUAUGUUACAAUUUAUUAUAUUGAGGUGUUUUGAGGUGUUUUGUUUCAUCAAUCUAAUGUUAUCAUAUUCAACACAAUUCAAUAAAUUAUAAAAAUAACUAAAUGUAUAGAUCAUUUUAUAAAAUAUAAAUGUAUAGAUCUGAUUGUAAUGUAUAUAAUGUAUAGAUAUGAUAUAUUUGUUGUAAUGUAUAAAUAUAUAGAUAUAAUAUAUUCAUUAUAAUGUAUAGAUAUGAUGUAGUGUAUAAAUGCAUAGGUCUGAUUAUAAUGUACAUAUAACAUAUCAUAACACAGAUACGAUGUAAAAACAAAAAUUCAUCAAACAAAAUAUUCCCGGUUUCUUUACAGUUUAAUUAAUAAAUUUCUCAAUCGGAGUAGAAUGUUCUCUAAGAUAGAGUGUCCUCAAUUUUUUUUUCCAGUUCAUCUCUGCGAAAAUUUUGAAAUAUAAUUAAUUUAUUUUUUUAAUAUCUAAUCUACACAACCGAGCUAAAACAUCAACAGGAUGUUGAUGACGUUAUUAAUUAACAACAUAACAUAGUCAUCAUAAAUGACUACUCAUGGUAAUCAUCAUCAUCAUCAAAUCUCACGGCAACGGUUGUCAACAGCUAAUGAUCACUGAUCAUGAUCUUUAUUUACUACAUGUACUUAUACAUGACAAUUUUACUGGCAUUCUCUUGGUUCCACACCGCACUGUAAUGGCAAAUAUCGAGCUGUCUUGAAAGCAUCAAACAAAUACUCUUCUUCAACUUGUCCCUGGAGAUAUUUCUCCUCAACAGCGUAGUACAGAGCCUCGCAUCUGCACUGUGUAGUUUCAGGAUACAUCUGCUUGAUCUGGUCACAGCACCGACGAAGAGACUGCUGUUGAUUACUGUCACUUCGUCUUGAUCUCUGUACACCAUAUUGUUGUGUGAUAUAUUCCUGGCAUUGCCUGAGUUUCUGCUGUCCAAUAAUAUGCUGACGACAGCCUUCCUGGUUUGGGUUUUUUUGUAUUUGGCGCAAGCAACGCAGACCGCAAGAAGAUACAAUGUCACUUGCUCUCUGCCCCACUCUCUCAGACUCUUCUCCUUGUAAGUGUCCCUGCUGAAUCUGAUAUUCGGCGAUAGAUUUGAUUGCUUCACAUUGGCAAUCAUGCCUCAGUUGCUCCACUUGAUUGCAGCACUGCUGGAGCUGCUGGGUCUCCUGCUGCUGGUCUUCAGCUCUAGGCAUCCUUAACAAUUCUUCCCCCGGUGAUCUUCUUGAACUUGAUUGUCUUAUAUAUUGCUCGCAGGAGCUCAAGUCCUUCCUCUGAAAUUCCUGGUGGCAUUGCUGUGACCGCGAUCCUUCCCCUCCAGCCUUUGUAUCGUCGAUCUCAAUGGUGGUUCCGUAAGCAAAAGAGGCGUUGGCAAUGAUGACCAAGAGAACGCUGAUGAGAGUUACUGUAGGUAUGAGCUUGGCCAUGGUUAUAGAACUUAUAAAUAAUAGCACCUAGAGAGUAUAUACUUGUUUGGAAAUGGAUGAAAAAGGUAAUCGGUAUUUGUACGAGGUUUCGGGGAAUGCAUGCAUAGAACGUGGAAGAUAUCACUUGAGGUGGCUCCAUUUGUUUUUGUGGUAUGGCUUAUGCUUACACGUAGGGCAGCUACAUGCAAAUUCUUUUGGUUUGGAAAUUUUUUUCGUUAAUAUGGACCUAUAUUUUUAUAUACGUCAAAUUAAUAAGUUAAAUUAUAUAAAAAUUAUUAAUUUUAGAUAAUAAAUUAUAUAAUAUUAUUUAAUAUUAAAAUAUUAUAUAUAUAUAUAUAUAUAUAUAUAUAUAUAUUUAUUUAUUUAUUUUCCAUUUGUCACAAUAUGUAUAUUUAAAUUUUACGUGUGAUAAUAAAUUUUGUAAAUGUAAAGUCUAAAUUAGAUAAUAAAAUAUAGAAAAAGGUAUAAAGAUUAAUUUUAUGAUUUAAUUUUUUGAUAUAUGUUUUUUUAAUUUUUUAAUGACACUUUAGUAUCCUAAGAAUUAGAUUAUUAGCAAUAUAUCUAAAUUAAUUAACAUUAUUAAUAAUUUUUGUUAGAAAUUAAACUCAAAUUAAUUAAUCUNNNNNNNNNNNNNNNNNNNNNNNNNNNNNNNNNNNNNNNNNNNNNNNNNNNNNNNNNNNNNNNNNNNNNNNNNNNNNNNNNNNNNNNNNNNNNAAGAAAAUAAUGAAUGGAGGAAUGAUUCUUUUCAAUGUUCAAAACUCAAUAAAAAAAUUAUAAUAAUUGGUGUACUCGUAUGAAAAUUGUGCUAGAAUCACAAGAUGCAUGGGAUGUUGAGAAAUGAUUCGAACAGCUUGAGAAUGACGAAGGCUUGAAUCAAGCUCACAGAGAUGCUUUACAUAGAUCUUGGAAAAGAAAUGAGUUGGCAAUGACAUUGAUGCAUUUGUGCUUAGAUGAAAGCAUGUUUGAAAAAGUCUCGGGUAUAGCAAGUGUCGAGCAAGCAUAAGAGUGUUGCAGAAUUCUUUUAAAGGAGUUAGUAAGGUGAUAAAAGUUCACUUACAAACCUUAAGAGCAGAGUUUGAAUCACUCAAGAUGAAAAGUUUUGAAUCAAUUUCAAACUACUUCACCCGAGUAUUGGUUAUUGUCAAUCAAAUGAGAAAAUAUAGUGAAAGCUAAAUGAUGUUCGAGUAGUUGAAAAGAUUUUGAGGUCUCUAGACUCAAAAUUUAAUUAUGUUGUUGCCAUCGAAGAGUCAAAUGAUCUAGGCUCCAUGAUUGUUGAUGAGUUGAUGGGAUUAUUGCAAGCUUGUGAAGAAAGGAUGACUGGAAAGCAACCACAAGCUCAAGUUCUUCUCUCAAUGUUAUCUCUAAAAGAGAAAGAUCGUGGUUGCGGUAUUAGAUAUGGUAAUUUUAGAGGAAGAGAAAGAGGGAUAUCUGAUAAGAACUUUAACAAUGAUGAGAGUUCAAAUUAGAAACAAGCAUUAAGAGGAUGUGGUAGAGGUGAUUGGUCCAAAAGAAGAGAUUCAAAAGCUGAUGUGCAAUGUUACAAUCGUGGAAAAUAUGGACAUUACGCCUCAGAAUGUAAGGCUAAUGUGCAUUAUUAUAAUUGUGAAAAAUAUAGUCAUUAUGCAUCUGAAAGCAUAAAUUCAGGUGUCAAAGAAGAAAAGGCUUAUUGUGCUAAAGGUGAAGAUAAUAAAGGAAAUAGUUUGUUACUAUCAUGUGAUGGAGUGAAGAAAAAGAUCAAGUAGCAUGGUAUUUAGAUACAGGUGCGAGCAAUCAUAUGACUAGCAAAAAAAAUUCUUUGUGUCUCUUGAUGAAACUUUUAAUGGAAAUAUUUCCUUUGUAGAUGAUAGAAAGGCUAUGAUUGAAGGAAGAUGAGAUAUUCUCAUUCAAGCUAAGGAUGGAUCGCAUAAGUUCAUUAUUAAUUCUGAGUAGCGUUAUCAAGAUUCGAAGCGAAAAAAUGGUGUUAGCAUAUUGAGUUUAGGUCAACUUUUGGAGUAAAGAUAUGAGAUCAUGCUAAAAAAUGGUGCUUUGAUGAUAAAAAAAUUCUAAAGGCAAUCUGAUUGCUAUAGUGAAAAUGUCUAAUAACAGAAUGUUUACUCUCAAAAUUCAAACUGGUUGUGUUAAAUGUUUGAAAGCAUGUUCAUCGAAUCCUUCUUGGUGUUAGCAUCAAAAGAUGGGUCAUUUAAAUUUUGAUAGUUGUUAGUGAAAGAAAGAAUGGUGUAUGGCAUACUUUUCAUUGAUCAAUUGCAAUAGUUGUGUGAAGGAUGUCUAUAUGGCAAACAAUUUAGAAAUAGCUUCUCACAGGAAUCAAGCCUCAAAACCUUUUGCAUUGGUAUAUGCUGAUAUCUAUGGCCCUAUAAAUCUACGUUCUUUUGGUAAAAAUAAAUAUUUCUUGUUAUUCAUUGAUGACUAUAGUCGAAAGACUUUGGUGUAUUUUCUGAAACAAAAGUCAGAAGGCCUUGAUAUGUUCAAAAAAUUUAAAGAGAUGGUAGAGAAGGAAAGUGGAUAUUCAAUUAAGGCUUCGAGAAUUGAUUGUGAUUGUGAGUUCACUUCAAAGCAAUUCAAUGAUUAUUGUGAGUCUCAUGGUAUUUGAAGAUUCUUAAUAGUUUCAAGAUCACCUUAAUAGAAUGGUGUGAUGGAGAGAAAGAAUAGAACCAUUCUCAACAUGAUAAGAAAUAUGUUGAAGAGUAAACAUAUGCCUAAAUAAUUUUAGGUUGGAGCUGUAGCUUGUUCAGUUUAUCUAUCCAAUAGGUGUCCUACAAGAAGUUUGCAAAAGUCUACACCAUAGGAGAAAUGGAGUGGAAAGAAGCCAAUUCUUUUCAUUUAAGAGUUUUUAGUUGUAUAGCUUAUAUACAUAUUCCAGAUGAAACACGAAUUAAAUUGGAUGAUAAAAGUAAGAAGCUUGUGUUUGUUAGGUAUGAUGCAAAGUACAAAGGCUACAAACUAUAUAAUCCAAAAAGCAAGAAGCCUGUUAUUAGUUGAGAUAUCAAGUUUAGUGAAGAUAAUUCUUGAAAUUGGAAAAAUUAAGAUGAAGACUACAAUUUCUUUCCUUUACUUGAUGAUGAGUCUAGCAAAAUAAGAGGUAUUGAGCAUCCUCCUUCACCUCCCAAAAUUUUCAACAAUUAUUCGUGAUGAUCAUAUGAUACUCUGAAAGACCUCCUAAGAUGAGGAGUCUUGAUGAUAUUUAUCAAACACUGAUGAGAUCAAUGAUAAUGCUCUUUAUUGUCUUUUUGCAAGAUUGGAGCUUAUAGAUUUUGAAGAAGCAAUGCAAAAUGAAAAGUGGAGUUUUUCCAUGAAUGAAGAAAUGGAAGCAAUUCAGAAGAAUGAUACAUGUGAAUUGUCAAACCUUCCGCAAGGAAAGUAAGCAUUUUGAGUAAAAUGGAUUUACAAAAUUAAAAAGAAUGUAGAUGGAGAGGUGAAGAAAUUCAAAGCUCGACUUGUUGCAAAAGGAUUCAGCCAACAACAUGGAAUUGACUAUGAUGAAGUUUUUGUACCAAUUGCUCGUUUAGAGACAAUUCGAUUGAUCAUUUCAUUGGCUGCUCAAAAGAAAUGGAAAAUUUUUCAAAUAGAUGUGAAAUCAGCCUUUUUGAAUGCAUAUUUGUAGAGAAACCAAUGGAUUAUGUUGUUAAAAGGCAAGAAAAUAAAGUCUUGAAGUUGAAGAAGGCUUUGUAUGGCUUGAAGCAAGAACCAAAGGCAUGGUACAACCGGAUUGAUGAUUACUUUAAAAAGAAAGAUUUCAUAAAGUGUCCUCACAAAUAUAGCCUUUAUUUCAAGAAAGAAAAUGGUAAUAUGCUGAUUGUUUGCUUGUAUUUUAAUGAUCUAAUAUUUACAGGAAAUAAUUUAGCAAUGUCUGAAGAAUUUAAGAAGGAGAUUGCUGAAGAGUUUAUGAUGAAAAUAUUGGCCUCAUAUCCUAUUAUCUUGGAGUUAAAUUGAAGUAAUCUCAUGACAGUAUUUUUGUUUCUAAAAAAGACUAUGCAAAGAAAGGCUUGAAAGAAUUCAACAUGGAGAAUUGUCAAUCUAUCAUUACACUUGCAGAGUGUGUUAUCAAGAUUUGAUAAUGGUGAGAAGGUGAGUACUAUUCUGUAUCGAAAGGAUUUUAGCGAAUCAAUACCACUAAAAUUCACAUUAAAAAUUCAUAAGUAAUUAUCUAGAAAGGAUUUUAGCAAACUAAUAUCACUAAAAGUCUGAAAAUAAUGCGACGAAGAUUUUGUUCCUCGGUAUGCAAAUCAAGGCACCGCCACCCAUGGUGGUUGGAAAAUUCAACGUGGCCGAAAAUUGCAAUCAGAGACCACCUAAUCGAGUCUGGAUAUGCAAUUAUUUUCACCUAACUCUUUAACAUUUUUUCAAAAAACGCCAAAGAAGUUGCUUCCCUGGCGAAGCUUUUUCUCCUAUUUCCAGUGAUGGCAACUCCAAUGAGGGCUUGUGUAACACCCAUAAAUUUUUUUCAGUAUUUUAAUUAGUUUAAUUUUGUUUUACAUAUGAUUAAUUGAGACAUUAAUUUAUUCAUUCCUCUGCAUUUUAUAAUUAGCUCUAUGAUACAAAUAUACACUAUAUAAUAUAAUGAUUUUAUUACUAAAAAAAAUAAAAUAAAAUAAAUUUAAAAUACCAAAUUUUAUAAAUAUUUUUAUGAUUUUCACUAUACUUUAUUUGCAAAUAAUUAAAUAGACACUACUUUAAAAUCACGACAAUAAUAAAUAUACAAAUUAAAUAAUAUAUAUAUAUAUAUAUAUAUACACGUGUGUUAGUGUAUAUAUGUAUUUAUAGUACAUAAUAAAGCAAAUAAUAAUAAUAAUAAUACUAAUAAAUACAUAUUUUGUACCCAAAAAUAUCCAUUUCCCUUCUCCUUUCUCAUUUAUUUUCUUUUCUUCCCGCUUGCACCCACCUCACCUCACGUCUCCCUCUCUGUUCAAGUUGUCCCUCCCCUUCCUCAUAAUUUUCCAGCCGCCUGAGCAGUAGUCCAGUCGUCCUCCACCGCCCUUGGCCAACGGCAGCUCCUUUUCUUUCCAUUUCUUGCCGGAAAAAUUGAAGAAAAAGGGAAUAUAGGCUGCCAUUUCUUCUGGGGGCCGUUGUAGGUGUUGUGGCUGUAUAGGGCUGCUACCAUUAGCUUUCUCAAGCUCCAAGCAGCCCAUUUUGGACCUCAUUUGCAGUUUCCAUCGUCGGAAAAGGGAGGAGGAGCUUCGCCGGAGCAGCAACUUCCUUGGUUUUUUUUUUUUUGAAAUAUUUGUGAAGAGUUAGGUGAAAAUAAUUAUACAUUCAGACUCCUCGCAUUGAGAUCUUCAAGUAGGUGGUCUCAGAUUGCAUUUUCGAUGACGUCGAACUUUUCAGCCACCGCAGGUGUCGAUGCCUCGAUUUGUGUGCCGAGGGGAAGAAUGUUUGUUACAUUAUUUAGAGAAUUUUGGUGUAUUCAUUCGUUAAAAUUCUUCACUAGUAAUUUGUUUUGGAUUUUUAAUGCGAAUUGUGGUAUUAAAAUCAGAAUAUUUAAUACGGUUGAACGAGUUGUUGAAUGAUUUUAGAACCGUUAUUAUUUAAAAGCUCAUAAACUAUUGUGUUAUAUCAUGUGGUGGAGAAUUGUUUGAAUAUUGAUAAAUUAAUUAUCGGAAUUAAGAAAUUAUGAUAAAUUAAAUAAAUUUGAAUAUUAUAAAAAUUAAUUGUGGAAGCCGGGUGUUUUAGGAGAAAUGAUGCCGGUAGAAUGUUUUAGAGAAAUCAUUGCAUUGCAUUCAUGUGUAAUUGUUUAUCCCAUUCCAAUCCAGUUGGUUCAAAUUUCUAUUCCUUUUUUUUAUUCUCUAUACAUGAUUGAUUCAUAUUCAUUAUUUCUUCUUCUUCUUCUUCUUCUUCUUCUUCUUCUUCUUCUUCUUCUUCUUCUUCUUCUUCUUCUUCUUCUUCUUCUUCUUCUUCUUCUUCUUCUUCUUCUUCUUCUUUAACUACCAUCCAAGCAACAAAAAAAUGGAAUUAAGGACCAACACAAGCGUGGCACAUCCAAUUCUCACAAAAUUAAAAUUAAUAAAAAAAUAAAACUAAUGUAAAAGUAGAAAGGGAAUUAAGGACCAACACAAGCGUGGCACAUCUCAUUUCUAUAGUGCAUGUCCUGAAUUUGCAUCACCAAAGAAAGCUCCAUCACCAAGCCUUGUUUUUAUUUCAAGAAACUCUUUAAGAGAACAGACUUCGCUUUCUCCACCAUCGUUAUAGCUAUAAUGAGCUUCUUUUGUUAUUCUUGUUCGCAUUUGUGUUAUACGGAUUUAUGGUGGUAGAUGGCGGUGGAACAACCAAAACAGCACCGCGAACUUCAUCGGCCGAUUUCUUUCUCUUACGGUAAUGACAGCAGAUGAAAUUGCUACAAUGUACUUGUCUAUUCAUGAGCAAUCUUCUUAUGGCAGCGUUGUUGAUUGUCUUGGCUGGAAAUAGAGAAUGGCAGAGGAGAGAUAAAUUCAUGACAGUUUUGUUUUUUGUCGAUUCCAAUAAACUCCGAUGAGGUGUGAACGAUCAAAACACAUGAAUAAAUUCCAGUCUCUGUAAGCUUUGGUAUUAGAUGACUUUUAUAUCAAUUGGUUAUCUUGAUCUAAUUUGUAAAUGCACUUUAACUUGAAGAUAUAAACUAUAAUAUCCCAUUGAUCUAGAACUUAAUGGUUUUUAUCAUUAAAUAGAAGAAAGAAAACAUACAUUGAUUCAUAUUCUUAUCUUAUUAAUAGAUACUCUAACAUUUUAGUUUUAUAUUUGCUAUAAUUCUUGAUACUAUGGGUAGAGAGAGGACCAAGUCUUAUUUAUAGACUAAUGGUGGUUUUCCAUCAAAGCAUCAAUGUUUACAACCCUUCAUGUCAUAAUAUUUAAUAAUAGUCAUACCUAUUCAAUUUACAACCUUUCAUUAACCAAUAGAAUUUAAUCAUUAAUAUUUUAUUAUAAUUAUAUAAAUCAUUAAUUUCUUACAUUCUCUCACUUGGCUCAUAUAAUUUAAUAAGAAUAUAAAGUGCACGAAGAUUAAUGUUAAAUUCUUUUUUUAUACAUUGGCUAUGACAUAGUAUCAUUAUUAAGUAGAAAUAUUAAUACGGGUCAUAGUGGUCGCAUGUCAUUUAUGGAUAUAGUUCCUUCCAUAUACCACAACACUAAUUCUCAACUUAACAUGAUCUUUAAUAAAGAUAACAUUAAUGGUCCAACAUUAGUGUCUUUAUUUCAAGAAUGUUCUUGUCAAUAUUACUCUAAAGCAAUUAUGUAUACCAAAUAGGAAACAGAAAAAUCAGAAACACAUAAUUGAGCUCAAAGUGUCAAUUAUAUAAACUUAAAAUAAACUUAAUCAAAUAUUAGUAAUGACGCCUAAUAAUGCUCAUUCUUAUAACAUGUUCAUUAAAUAUUUUGGGCGGUAAUCUUUUUGUUAAAGGAUCUGCAAUCAUAAGAUUUGUUCUAAUAUGUCCAAUUGACAUUUUUUGUUUCUGAACUUCUUCUUUAAUGGUAAAGUAUUUUAUCUCCAUAUGCUUAGCACCCUUAGAAUUCUUAUUAUUUUUAGAGAAGAAAACUGCUGCAGAAUUAUCAUAAUAGAUUUUCAGCGGCCUGCAAGUCCUGAAAUAAAAUUUCGCAGCCAUAAUCCAUGAACGGUAGCCUCAGAGCAAGCUACAAACUCAGCCUCUAUAGUGGAUGCAGCAAUGACAGACUGCUUCAUAUUCUUCCAUGAAAUUGCUCUUUCGGCUAAUAGGAGUAAGUAGCCAAAUGUUGAUUUUCUUAUAUCAACACAUCCAGCAAAAUCUGAAUCUGAAUAUCCAAUCACCUCAAGGUGCUUAGAUCUUCUAUAAGUGAGCAUAUGAUCCUUUGUUCCUUGCAAGUAUCUAAGAAUUUUCUUUGUAGCUUUCCAGUGAUCUAUCUAAUCCUGAAUUACUUUGAUAUUUGCCCAAUAUUCCGAACAACAAAAUUAAUGUCCGGUCUGGUGCAAGUUUGAGCAUACAUUAAACUCACAACAACAUAAGCAUAAGGAACGUUCUCUUUCUAUUCUCGUUCCAAUUCAUUUUUCAGACAUUGCAUAAGAUUAAAUUUAUCCCCUUUCUGAAUUGGAACUAUUCCUGCUGAAAAUCUGGAACAGCAAGGAUGGGUGCAUUGCAUAAUUUGGUUUUGACUUCUUCAAAGGAUUUUUGGGCCGCUUCACUGCAUUUGAACUCUCCUUUCUUUAUUAACUCUAUCAUCGGGGCUGUGAUUGUUGAGAAGUUCUUGAUGAAGAUUCUAUAGAAAGAAGCAAGGCCAUGAAAGCUCCUAACUUGAUGAACAUCCCUUGGAACUAACCAUGUGGAAAUGGCCUUCACUUUCUCCGGAUCAAUCUGUAUCCUUUCACUAGGAACAAUGUAUCCUAGGAAAGAAAUACUAUUACACAUGAAAGUACAUUUUUCCAUUUUUCCAUACAACUUAUGAGUUUUCAAUUUUUCAAAUAAAUCUCUCAAGUGCAACAUAUGCUCACUUUCAGAUUUGCUAUAUACUAAAAUAUCAUAUAAGUAUACAACAAUAAACUUAUUGAGACAAGGUCGAAGUACCUCAUUCAUAAGUAUCAUGAACGAACUAGGGGCAUUGCAAAGUCCAAAUGGCAUGACAAGCCACUCAUACAACCCUUGUUUCGUUUUGAAAGUUGUCUUCCAUUCAUCACCUUCUCGAACUCUCAUUUAAUGGUAGCCACUCCUCAAAUUAAUCUUGCUGAAAAUUUUAACACCACUCAAUUUAUCAAACAUAUCUUGGAGCUAGGCAUAGGAAAUUGAUAUUUGAUAGUUAUGUUAUUGAUUGCACGACUAUCAAUAUACAUUCUUCAUGUUCCUUCUUUCUUAGGCACCAAAAGAGCACGAACAACACAUGGACUAAGGCUCUCACACACAUAACCUUUCUCCAUUAGUUCUUCCACUUGCCUUUGCAACUCUUUAGCUUGCUCGGGAUUGCAUUUAUAGGCUGCUUUAUUAGGCAAUGAGGCUCCCAAAAUUAAGUCAAUUGCAUGCUCAAUCCUAUGAAAAGGUGGUAGCCCUUUUGGUAAAUCACAAGAAAAUAAAUCAGAAAAUUCUUCAAGCAAAUGACUCAAAGACAAAGAGAUAGUGGCAUAGGGAACAACAUUAGAAAUGAGUUUAACAAGAAGUACAAACCCUCCUCCCUCCAGUGCACACACUCUUUUUCAAAUUCUUUCCUCGAAAUUAGAAAAUUAGGCCUCCUUUCCACCAUAGGUUCAACCUUAGGAGGCAAAGAUAACAAUCUAAUCUUUUUUCCAUCCGUGGUAGUAACCGUAUAUACAUUAGAGACACCAUCAUGUACAACAUCUCUAUCAAAUUGCCAUGGUCUACUAAGCAAAAUAUGACAUGCACUCAUAGGCAAUACAUCACACUAACGUUCAUCAUGAUAAUUGCCAAUUGCAAAUGAAACUUGACUUUCAAACCAGUUUCAUUAUUCAACCAAUUCAAUUUGUAAGGCUUAGCAUGAUUUCGAAGGGGAAGCUUAAGCUUACUUACAAGUUCUAUGGAAGUCACAUUCGUGCAUGAUCCUCCAUCAACAAUCACAUCACAUGUCUUAGCAAGAACCUUGCACCUUAUAUGGAAAAGGUUCUCUCGUUGCUGCAUGUCUUUGAGAGGUUCAGAAUGUAAGACUCUCCCAACAACUCCACAAAGAGGGUUGUCAUUUUCCUCCGCAUCAUACUCCUCAACAUCUUCAUUAUUACUUUCAGAUUCAUAGCCAUAAGAAUCCUCCUCUGUUUGAGUUGUUUGCAACAGUCAUUCGCAUAAACAUUAAGCUUAUUCUGUUCGAUCUUUCCCAAGCUUUAUAUAAAACUUUUUCUUCAUUGCUAAUUUCAUCAGUAAUAGUAGCAGGUUUCUCAAUUUGAAGUGCCAAAUCAAGAUCCAGAACACCUAAGUGAAACUAAACUUGUUCGCACCAAUCAGAAAAAUUAAAACUAUUAAAUAAUGAAACAGAUGAAGCAUGUGAAUGAAGAGAAACAUGUACAAAUACUACAAAUAAAAAUAACAUAGAAUACUUAUACAUUUAAUGCUUUAAUUCAUAAUGUUUCUUCCAUAAAUUCAAAUAUAAAUAUAAAAUAUAUCAAAGUCCUCCUUUGGAUGAUACUAAGAUAUACUUAUGUAAAUAAUUAUAGGUAAUUAUAUAUGCAUAACUAAAUUUAUUUUCUCUAUCUUUGGAUAUGUAAAAGUAAAAUUAUUACAACAUACUAAUCACUACGAUUAUAUUUAUCAAUUAUAAAAUAAUUAAUCAACCUUUGAACUGAUCUCUAAAUAUCUUGUAAUGAUAAAUUUUAAUUUACCCAUAAAUAUACAAAAAUCGUAAUGUCAUUUAAACAUAAAAUUUCUAAGUAAUUGAAAAUUAUAAUCUAUAAUUUCAAAUUUAUUUACUUUAAAAAUUUGGUCACUUUGGUGACAAGCAAAUCGUUCUUAACAUAAAUUUCAAAGUUAUAAUAAUAUAUUUAAAUAAUAUAUCUACUUUCAUUAAAUAUUUAACUUAAUUUCAAUUAAGCAUUAAUUAUUGAUAUAUAUUUAUGUAGCAAGAAUUAAAGAUGAAUCUGGAUUAAAUUUCUUUUAUUAGGACGAAACUGUAAAUUUUUUCAAACUUAAUUGAAAGAAUAAUAAUUUUACAUGCAAUCUGAUAAAUUAACAAAAUUUAUGGACCACAAUGGACCUUUAACCAAAAACACCAGAAAGUUUAGUUUUUUUAUAUAACAAUCUACAGUCAUUUUCUAAGUUACAUAAACAUUAAUUUAGUCCCGAAAUGUCAAAAACUUAAUCAUAAACCAUACACAAUUAAUCUAAGACAGCGAGGCAACAAAUUUACACAAAGUCAUGAAACUAAUAUCAACAAAUCUUAAAUUUAAUCCAAACCAUGCAAAAUUAAUCAUUUUAAUUUAUAUACUAAAACAAUGAUUAAUUCUUGCAUGCAUCCACGACAACAAUAAAUCCAACAAACUUAUAGAAAAACACGAUUUCUUAAACUUUACUCUGAUAGCACAUGUAAACUAUAAUAUCCCAUCGAUCUAAAACUUCAUGUUUUUCACUAUUAAAUAGAAAGAAGAAAACAUACAUUGAUCCAUGUUUAAUAGAAUGUGAUUUUUCUCCCUUUUCCCCUUAUCUUAUUGAUGGAUACUCUAAUCUUUUAGUUUUGUAUUUUGUAUAAUUUUUGAUGAUAUGGGUAGAGAGAUGACCAACUCUUAUUUAUAGACUAUUGGUGGCUUUCCAUCAAAGUACCAAUUGUUACAACCCUUUAUGUCAUAACAUUUACCAACAGUCAUAACUAUUAAGUUCACAAUCUUUUAUUAACGGUAUAAUUUAAUCAUUAAUAUCUUAUUAUAAUUAUGUGAGUCAUUAAUUUCUUACAGAAGAAUCCUAGUUCUUCUAUUGAUCUUUUAAUAAACAUGGUUGAGUUUUCAUCAAUCUUUUAAUGAAGAAAGUUGAGUUUUGAUUUUUGAUCAAACUCACCGUUUUCAUCUGCUCCAUGUCAGCAAUUCAUUUUGCUGAUAUGGCUCUUUUUCUUGUUUUUAAGUAGUUUUGGUGCCACGUAUGCGUGUUAUAAUCGGAUUUCACUUUCGAUUGCCAAAAUUUCAUAAUAUAGAAAAAUAUAUAAAAAAAGUGAUUAAUGUGAUAAAUUUAAAAGAAUUUGAUAAUUUACAAAAAAAAAAAGGGUCAAACUAUAGAAAUUUUUAGGCAGUUAGACCUCUAAAAGUUAAUUAUUUUGUUGAAUUUUCAACUCCUUUGUUAGUCUUAAAAUUAAGAUUGACAUGUUGAAAUAAAACUCAAUGUUAUUAUUUCAUUGGAUGAGGCAUUUAAUGACGUGGUAAAUUAACCUCAUCGAUAGCUACAGAUAUUUGUGAUAUGAUUUAUGCUUACAUCGUAGAGCAGUUACAUGCAAAUUCUUUUUUCGCUUAAUACAGAUUUAUAUUUUCUUAUAUAUAUCAAAUUAAUUAAUAAAAUAUAUAUUUAUUAAUUUUAAAUAAUAAAUAUAUUUUAAUUAUUUAAUAUUAAAAUAAAAAAUAUUUAUAUUUUAUGUGGUAAUUUUGUAUUUAUCGCAAUAUAUAUACUUAAAAUUUAUGUUUGAUAAUGAAACUUUUAUGAAUGUAAAGUAUAGAUUGGCACUCUUCAAAGUGAAUAAUAAAAUAUAAAAGUAUAAGAUAAAAUAAAUUUAUGCUUGUUGAUACUUUAAAUAGAAAAAUAAAUAUUUUCAAGCAGAUAUGUUAAAGAUAUAAACUGUUUUUGAAGUUUUAUUUAAUAGUUUAAACUUGUGAAUAAAAAGAUUGUUUUUAUAGACAUAAGUUUUAAUUUGACUAAUAAGUUUAUCAUUAUUUUAUGUUGCAGUAAGAAUAUUUCUAAAUGUGCUUUUUAUUUAAAAAAUUUCCAUUAAUAUUAAUACUUUUAUUUUUCUUUUUAAAUUUUAUAAAAUGAGAAAUUAAGAUUAAAAAUAUCAAUUAAUAAGCUAUAUAACAUUUUGGAAUUUAUUAAUUAAAAUGAGAACAUAGAGUAAAAUUUUGACGAUCGAAUAUAGAUAAUUAAAUUAGUUCUUUAGUUCUUUUAUAUUAAAUAAAUAAAUAACCGUUCAACUUUUAUUUUAAAAUUAUUGCUUAGUGGGGUAUAUCUAUGCACCUAUAUAUCAACUUAUAUACUAAAUUUAUAUAAAUAUAUAAUUGAUACGUGAUUUUAUAGAUUAGAAUGUGAUCUAUUUUGAGGUACUAUUCAUUUCUUUAGUUCAUGAUUUUAAAGUUUUCUCUUAAAGAAAGGAAAGAAAUUAUAUUAAAUUUUAUAAGACUCAAAUUUUUUAAUUUUAAGUCAAUGCAAAUUAUAAUAUUAUCAAAUCAAUAAGGAAGAAUAACAUUUACUCCAAAAUUCUCAAUAACUGAAAGAUAUUAACACUCUUUGUCUUCAUCUUUACUCUUAAGUGUUUGCAAUUAUGAUUUUCCGAAAUCAAUCUUCCUUGCAUUAAAACUGCAUAUGAUCUGUUCGUUUAUAUUUAUUGUUUUCAAAAGAGAAAAUAUUUUGUUAGGUUUUCAAGCACUUUGUGUUAGAGCUUGUAGUUUGUAGGGUGACACAGUCUCCCUUAUAAAAGUUUAUGAGAGGCCCAUUUGAACCUAAGAAAGCAAAUGAGAGGUUGACAGAAGCCUAAUAACUUUUUUGGAUUAGUUGGAUAUGAGAUAUUUCAAACUAUAUAAGGUAUUUUAGUAUCAGAACCUUGUAAGGCUUGAUAUAUAGCUGUUAAUAGAGUCAAAUAGUGGAGACAAUCUUAAAGUGCAAUUUUUAGGGACUGAAUGUAGGUCUUAGUAUCAAACUAAGAUAAAUCUUUGUGUUAAUCUCUAUAAACUUACAAUUGCUAUAUACUUUAUUAGUCGUCUAUUACAUCUAUAUAUGAGAAUUUACUAUUCAGACGUCUAACUAUUUUCAAAAAGGUACAUGAGACAGCUUUCUCCAUGCAUCAUCUUACUUCUAUGAUCUAUAAGUGCUUACAAGUUACAUCAGUUGAGGUAUUAAUUAAAAUAUGUAGUUAUCUAACAAGAUGCUUUUUUAGCUUAGUUAGAUAUAUGUGCAACUUUAAACUCACAUUAGAACUUCUAUAGAAUUAUCUCUAAGCAUUUGAUAAACCAGUAAGGUAUCUAACUAGAAAAGCAUCUAUUUUGCACCUUCAAUAUAAAUAAUUUUUGAGGUAUACAGUACACAUAAUGAGUUUAUUUCACGUGUAUAUGAUAUUUUAAUUUUUAUCAAAUUUCUUUCAUUUAGAUUUUAAAAUCAUCAUUUAUAUUAUCUUAUAUAUCGAUAUGGACAAAAUACUUGUUAAUCUUAUUGGAAAGAAAAUAUGAAGUAUGUAAAUUUUGAUGUAACAAAUAUUCUCACACUGAAGGGCAACAAUUUUCCAAAUUUUCUGAAAAUAAUGUCAAAUUAAAUCAAAAUUAAAAAGAGCAAACAAGAAUGGAGAUUCAAUAUCAAGUUUAUUUCGAGUACACAAAGGAUAUCAUCAAAGUAUAUUAUAAGUACAUAACAGGCUUAUAAAUUUAACAGUAUAUAAUACAUUCCGAUUACAUUAUGAGUAUAUAAUAAGUAUAUAUUACCAUUUCUGAAUUUAUUAAAAUAUAUACAAUUGUUGUACAAGUACUAUAGAUUCUAAUAAAUGAGUUUAACCACUAAUAAUAGCUAUUAACUAAUUAUAAAAACUAAAUAUAAAUAUUAAUUCAUAAAAUCAUGUCAUGAAAUUGAAUCUAAAAACUAUUGCUAUUAAAUUUUUUUUGCAUCAAAGUUUAUGUAUCUUAUAUUUCCUUUUCAAUUUUUAUUGUCGUGAAAAUAGAUAUUUUAUCCAUACACAUAUAUAUAGAUAUAUAUCUUGUGUGUGUAUGUCUGCAUGUAAAUAUAUAUAACAUAUAUUUGAAAUAUACUUGUUAUAUACUUAAUAUAUAUUUUUCACUAUAUGCUUUAAAAGUUAUUCUAUAUUUUAAAAGAAAAAUAACUUUUCCAUAUAAUAUAUUACCACAAACUUACUAAAUUUUAAAAAUAUAUAUUUAUAAUAAUACCUAUAUAUAUUUGAUAUAUACUAUUUCUUAAGAUUUUUACAAAAUGGAUCUAAAUACUUAGUUUUUUGUAAAUUUAAGUUCUAAAAUACAAUACUCAUUUAAAAGUUAUAUGAUAUGAUAUUUUUGACGAAUUUUGAUAUAAUAAAAUUUGAACUAACAGAAAAUUAAUUAAAUAAAAGUUUAAAAUUGAAUUUAUCUUAUAAAAUUGAAAAAUUAAUGAAUUUACCUUCAAAAGUUUUUGAUAAAAUAUUGUUAAAUUAUUAAUGAGAUAGUUGUUAGAUUUGUUACAAAUUUUUUAGAAUUAAGAGUUUAGAUCGGAAUUUAUUUUGAAAAUAAAUUUAUAAUUUUUGUUGUUAGCGAUCAACUAAAGAAGACUGAUGCAACCAGAGAGAGAAAAAUGAUAGUUAAAAUUGUUCUGAAAGUAAUUCAAAGAAAGAAAAGAAAACAAAGAACAAAAGGACGCAAUAAAAGGUUUAAAAUAUUCAAGAAUAAUGUUCAGAGAGUAUAGAAAAAGAAAAUUAUUAGCCAAAAAAGAAUUCAAAAGGUGUAUUAAUUAGAUGAACUCCUCUUUUCUGUAGAGUUUAGUCCAGAAACUCAUACACAUUUGAGUUAUUAAUUAGAUGGACUCUGAAUACUUUGAUCUUUUUUAGGACCUUUGAAUAAUUGGAUAGGUGUAAUAUAAUGGCGCCUAUAGCGAUACUGACAGUGCCACAGUUAAACAAUUAACUUCUGCAUUUGCUCUUUUAAAUUAUUUAUUUUCCUUAACAAAGUUCGUGUCUGAGUCCUGAGUCCUAAAGUUUGAGCUCCAGUCCUACGUUAAUGGAGUUGGGUAGGCUCAUGACAUAUUAAUUAACAGAGGACCCACAUAAACUUAUUAUAGAUUUUGCAACAGUCAUGAUACAUGGCUACUACGUAAUCAUCAUUUUCUAAUCUCACAGCAACAGCUGCGAAGGGCUAGUGAUCACUGAUCAUGAUCUUUAUUAACUACUUCAUAUAUAUAUAAUCCUGCGACUUUAGAACCGGCAUUCGGUUGGUGAGACGCCGCACAUUGAUGGCAAAUUCGCAGCUGUCCUGAAAGCCUCAAAAACAUCCUGACCUUGAAGUUGCCCCUGGCUCUGUUGCUGCUCAAUAGCCUGCCUCAGACCCUCGCAUCUGCACUGUGACUGCAUCUGCUUGAGAUGGUCACAGCACCCACGAAGAGACCGUUCUUGAUUGUCACUUCUUCUUGGUCCCUGUCCGGAAACUUGUUGUUUGAUAUAUUCCUGGCAUUGCCUGAGAUUUUGUUGCUCUUGAAUCUGCCCACGACACCCCUGCUGGCUUGGGUUUGUUCGAGUUUGGCGCAUGCAACGCACACCGCAAGAAGAUACAAUUUCACCUGCUCUCUGCGCCACUCUUUCAGACUCUUCUCCAUGUAGCUGUCCCUGCUGAAUCUGAUCCUCUGCGAUAUAUUUGAUUGCUUCACAUUGGCAUUCAUCUCUUACUUGCUUUACCUGAUUGCAGCAUUGCUGGAGUUGCUGGCUCUCCUGCUGCUGGUUUUCAUCUCCAGGCAUCCUUAACACUUCUUCUCCUGGUGAUCUUCUUGAACUUGAUUGCCUCAGGUAUCGCUCGCAGGAGCUCAAGUCCUUCCUCUGAACUUCCUGGCGGCAUUGCUGCGAGCUCGAUCCUUCCCUUUCACCCUUUGACUCGUCAAUCUCAAUGGUGGUGAUGGUGGUCCUGUAAGCGAAAGACGCAUUGGCAAUGAUGAACAAGAGAACACUAACGAGAGCAAUUGUGGGUAUGAGCUUUGCCAUUGUUACUGAAUAUCAGAAAGCUGCUCUUAUGGAAUAUAGUAGAUGAUGGUAAUGGGCUCUUAUAGGAAAUUUAGGGGAGUGCAUGUCGAGAACGUGUAAGAUUUAUGGAAUGGCCAGUCAUUUCUGGCAUUUUUAUGGGGUGGCUACCCAUGGUUUUGAGGUCUGCUUUAAGCUUACACGUAUGGCAGCAGCAUGCAAUUUCUGUUUGCUUCAUAUGAUUCUUUUUAUGGAUUUUGCGCUUGAUGUUGUUGAAGUAUAUAUUUUUAGGUUUGUUUUAUUAUAUAUUUUGUAUAUCGUUGAACCAAAUGGUCUUUUGUUUAUAAACUGUUAUCCCGAAGCAUAUACAAUUAAUUUAAGGGUUAAAUUUCAAUUUUACCAGACUAAAUUAUUAUUUCUUUUAGAUACAACAGAGGGUACACCGGAAAACGAACACAAAAGUAUCACAAUGCAGCUGACUAAAAUCAACAACACCUUUACCAUGCCAUAAAGCGUCAUUAGAUAGUGAAGAAACUUUGUUCAGUUUUUUUUCAUUCAUAUUCGAAAAUCUUAGGUACAAGGAUUUAUAUAAAUUUUUAUUUAUAAGACUCCUAUUUUAAUAUAAAUUAGAAACUUAAAGAAUAUGAAUGUAUAAGGAAGGAGAUAGAUACAGGGGAUAUAUAGUGUGUUAGGAGACAAAUUAAAUCUUCUACACUCCCCCUCAAGUUGAUAUAUAGAGAUUUUGCAUGCCCAAUUUAUCUAAUGCUCAAUAAAAAAUUUCCCUUAAUACUGCUUUGGUAAGAAUAUCGGCGAGUUAAUCUUUAAAUCGAACAUGAAGGACUUCAAUUAUUUUGGCUUCUAACUGUUCCUUAAUAAAGUGUCUGUCUAUUUCCACAUAUUUCAUCUGAUCAUGCUGAUCUAGGUUAUGAGCUAUACCUCAUGCAGCUUUAUUAUCACAAUAUAGUCUUAUAGGACUAAAAUGUGGAACUCAGAGCUCAUGUAGUAAAUUCUUGAUCCAAAAUAACUCACAAACACCUUGAGUCAUUCCUCUAUACUCUGGUUCUGCAUUAGACCGAGUUACAACACUUUGCUUCUUACUUCUCCGUGUAAUAAGGUUUCCUCCAACAAAAGUUAAGUAAUCUGUUGUGGAUCGCCUAUUAUCAAUAGAACCAACCCAAUCCGCAUCAGUAUAGCCCUCAACAUUCAAAAUUAUCCCUUUGGUAAAUAUAAUGCCUUUUCUUGGAGAGGAUUUCAAGUAUUACAAAAUAUAAAGAACAACGUUUAUAUGAUAUUCACUUGGAGAGUGUAUGAAUUGACUUACUACAUUUAAAGAAUAUGCCAAAUCCGGACGAGUAUGAGCAAGAUAUAUUAACCGACCUACAAGUCUCUAAUAUCUUUCUUUAUUCGUAAGUACUUGCUCGGAAAAUAUAUCAAGCUACGUAUGUUUACUAGUAGAAGUAUUAAUUGGUUUGCAAGCUAGCAUAUCGACCUUUUUAAGUAAGUCUAAACUGUAUUUUCGUUGAGAUAAAAAUAUAACUUGCUUAGAUCAUAGUACUUCAAUCCCUAAGAAAUACUUGAGAUCACCAAAGUCUUCAUUUCAAGCUCUUCAGAAAGAUAGUUAUGUAAGGCUAUCUUUUCAUCAUCAUCAUUAUCUCCUAUUACAAUCAUAUUAUCAACAUAUAUGAUAAGCACAACUAUUCUUCCUUUCUUAUAUUUUAUAAAUAGAGUAUAUGAUCGGAACUAAUAUGUUUAUAGCCAAAGGUCUUAAUUGAGUUUGUCAACCUUCCAAACUAAGCUCUCGAAGAUUGUUUCAAUCCAUAUAGAGACUUUUUCAGCUUAUAGAAUUGCUUACUUCCUUCAACCUGAAACCUACAUCUUGGAGGUAGUUCCAUGUACAAUUCCUCUUAGAGAUCGUCAUGAAGAAAAACAUUCUUUAUAUCGAAUUGGUGGAGACCAAUUUAAAUUUACAGCCAAGGACAAAAGAAUUAUGACAAUAUUGAUCUUGGCCACAUGAGCAAAGGUUUUUGUAUAAUCUAUCCCAUAUGUCUGACUAUAUCCUUUCGUAAUAAGCCAAGCUUUGUGUCUCUCCACACUUCCAUCUGCCUUGUAUUUAACAGUAUAAAUCCACCUACCAAUAUAUUUUUCUCCAUUUGGUAGAUCAACAAUCUCCUAGGUUUCAUUCUUUCAAAGGGACUUCAUUUCUUCAUCCAUUGCUUCUUUCCACCUCGGGUCUUUUAUGGCUUCCUGCACAUCGUUAGGUACAUACACAAAAGAUAAUUGAUUUAUAAAUGAUUCACGUGUCUUUAAUAGCCUAUGGUAUGAAACAUAAUUAUUUAUUAGAUAUUUAGGUCUUGAGUCAUCAUGGGUUCAUAACUUGAUUUAGACUUUUCUCGAGUAGUUCGGUUCGAGAGUAUUCUAACAGAGAUUUUAUGAGUUACUUGAGAUUCAGCUCAGGAUAAGUCAUCAAGUAAAGAUGACAUUGAUUGUAGUGCUUCAAAUUCAGCUUUAUUACCUUGACCCCAAAUAUCAAGCUCGCAAUGCUCGGUUGACCCAAGAUCAAAAGAAUAAUGCUCAGAUUGUUUUGACAGGUCGAGAGUUUCAGUUGAAAGAAGGUCAGGAAUCUCUGUUGGAAAAUCGGAUUGUUUUGAAGGUCGGGUUGUAUUUGAAGGUCGAGUUGUGUUUGAAGGUUGGGUUGUGUUUGAAGGUCGGGAAAAUAUUGAAGGUCAGGCUGCAAGUCAAUAUUUCUCUCAUCCUGACUUGCAGUAAGGAAAUACAUCUGAUGCUCAUGAAAUUGGAUAUCCAUACUGACAUACACUCGUUGAGUUAGAGGGUGAUAACACUUAUAUCCUUUCUGAUGAAUACCAUAUCCAAUAAAGAUACAACAAAUAGUACGAGGUUGGAGCUUGUGGCGUGUGUGGUGAGGAAGGUGAACAAAGAUUGUGCAACCAAGGACUUUAUAAGUAAGUUCGGUAAUGAUGGUGAGGUAAGGCUUUUAUUUAUUUUAUCAAAUGGGGUAUGAAAGUCUAGGAUACGAGAUGAAAUUCGAUUUAUAAGGUAAGAUGAUGAGGAUAAAGUUUCUCCAAUAUUGGAAAGACAUAUUGGCUUCAAAUAGAAUAGCUCGUACUGUUUUCAAGAGAUGUCAGUUUUUUUUCCUGUAAUCCCAUUUUGUUGAAGAAAAUAAAGGCAUGUGGUUUGAUGGAUUACACCAUAUUGUUGAAGAAAUUGUGUGAAUUCAUGAUUAAUGAAUUCACCUCCAUUAUUUGUCUGUAGUAUUUGCACUGGAGUUUUAUAUUGAGUUUCCACCAUCAAAUAGAACUUCUUGAAUAAUGAGCAAACCUCCUGCUCACUUUUCAUUAAGCAUAUCCAUGUCAUACGACUAUAAUCAUCAAUAAAAGAAAUAAACUACCGAGCUCUAUUCAAGUUCGGUACCUUUGUAGGUCUCCAAAUAUCAGAGUGUAGAAUCAUAAAUGGUACUGAACUUUUAUUUAAACUAGUUCGAAAAGAGACACGAUGGCUUUUUACGAGUUCACAAGUUUCACAUUUGAAGUUUAAAAGUAUAUAUUUUUAAAAAUAACUUAGGAAACGAAUACUUUAAAUAUCCAAAUAAUGCAUGACCAAGGUGCUUAUGCCAUAACCAUAUCAUAUUUUCUAUACUUGUCGAUAUGGAGCUACUAUUUUCCAAACUUGAUUCCGACAAGGCACUUAAGCUGGAUGGUGCAAUGUCAAGAUAAUAGAGCUUUUCUUUUCUAAUGUCAUAAACAAUCGUCCUCUUUAUCUUGAUGUCCUUAAAAAUAUAAUAAUCAGCCUAAAAAAUUACUAUACAAUUUAAAAAGGUGUUUAGUUGAGAUAUAGAUAUUAAAUUGAAGUUUAGAGAUGGAACAAUUAAAACAUAUUCUAAAUUUUGGUUGUCAAGUGUGAAUGACCAUUUACCAGUAACACUAGCUUUUGUAUCAUUAACUGUGGAUAUAACGGAUUACUCAGUUGCUUUUAGCUCAGUAGGUGUGUUAAAAGGCAUAUUAUCAGUCGAUCCAGAAUCAAUAACUAAUAUAUACGACCUAACAGUGGCAGAAUUACAAAAAGAUUUAUCUAAUAGUUCUAAAGAUAUGUGUAAGAUAACAACAUCUAGCGAGGAAGGUUGUUCGGCUACAGCUAUUGAUACUGAUGCAGUUUUUACAGUUUUUGACUUUCUUUUCGAAGCUUUAGAAGGAUCCUACCAUUUAGGAUAUCCAAUCAGAUCAUAACAUCUGCUUUGAGUAUGGCCUGUUGCACCAUAAUGUAUACAUUGCUUUGUUGAAUUGGUUUGUUUAUUACCAAUAUCAAAGCUACGAAUAGAAUUCUGCAGAAGUGACGAGUUAGUUCUUUUCGCGAGUAAUGUAGCUGACUCUGAGAAAGCAUGUUCUCUAGUUAAGAUUUUUUUCAAUUUGCUUCUCGGCAAACAUAUGCAUAUGUUUGUUCAAGGUCUAAGCUCGGCUCCAUUCGGAGGAUUUCUCCUCUCACUUGUUCAAACUCGGCGUCAAGUCUAUUUAAAAAGAUGUGGAUUCUAAACUUCUCUACAUCUGCUUUAUACAUAGUAAUGCCCUCAAGAUCUUUUAUUCUUAUCUUAUCCCAAUGAUCAAGUUCCUAGAAUAUCUCAACUAGCUCGCUAUAGUAGGUCGGAAGCCGACUUAGGAAUGCUCGUUGAUUAAGAGCAAAAAUCUAAGUUUCGUCUGAUCCAUCAUAGAAUGCUUUUGGAAAAAGCACUCUAGAUUUCACGGGCUAUACUGAUACGAGGAUACUUUUUCAUAGUUUCUGGUAUCAUUGAUGUGAGUAACCAGCUUUUAACUUUUUGGUUUUCAGCAUACCACUUGAAGUAAGAUGGAUCAGUUAAUAUGGAGUUAAUAUGGGUAGAGGAGAAUCUCCUAUAAUAUAAUCCAAUUUUUUACGCCCAACAAUAUACAUCUCCAUGAUUUGAGACCAUGUAUCAUAAUUGGUUUCAGUAAGAGUUAUUCUAGCUUUAAAGCCAAAAUUUUUAGAAUUGACAUGGAUAAUUUGAGUGAUGGUAUGGUGGUUGAUUUAGUAGGGGUUUCAGAUGGAGAGGAAGAUAUUUUUUACAAUAAAAAUUUUAUGCAACUAGGCUCUAAUACCAUGAAGAAACUCAAUUCAGUUGUUUUCAUUCAUAUUUGAAAAUUUUAGGUACAAGGACUUAUAUAGACUCUUAUUUACAAGAAUCUUAUUUUAGUACAAAUUAAGAACCUAAAGAAUAGAAACGCAUAAGGAAUGAGAUAGAUACUGCUUUAGGAGACAAAUAAAAUCUUCUACAGAUAACCAAUCAGCAAUUCUAUUACCUUCCCUUAGGGUAUUUUGAACUUGAACAUAGUAAAUUAUAACCCUUAUAUUCUAAUUGAAAGGUUAAUCUCAUUCAAUUUUAAAAAAAUUUACGCCUUUCAGGUGCUUCAUAAAGUGAAAGCAUCUUUCAGAUAUUUCAUAAAGUCAAAACAAUACAUUCGACAGUAAAAAGUAUAUGAAAUAGGAUAGCAAGAUCCUCGUUUAACUUGUCCUAAGCUCCUUGAAUAUUUGAAACAGUAAGGGAAACGGGAAUAAAACCUAACUGGGUUAAACGUAGACAUGUUCUGAAAGGAGCAUUGGAAAAAAAAUGUCGCACAGUUGCAAAUGCUCCAUAACGAACACAUGGUGCAAUAAUUCCAAGAUUACUAAAUAAAGCCGAUCCAACUGAUAGAGCAUUAGAUAAUAUUUUUGCAAGAAAAGCUUCAAUUUAUUUGGAAUAUUUUAAUUUUCAGAGAUGUUUCCACUGAGUGUGUGGAGGUAUAGCCAUGGUGAAAUAAUGGGGCUAAAUGGAAGGAAAGAGAGACUUCUGCCAUGCAUAAUACCUUAAACCCACUAUAUACUUUUCUGUAUUGUGAAAAGGAAAACUGUAAUUGUCACCGUUUGAGACCAUCUCGGGCAAUAUUAAUAAAAAGUGGGUUCUAAAAAAUAAAAAGAAAUAGAUAUAUCAAAUAUGUAAAAAGUAGAGGUAUUUGGUAUUGUAUUUCUCUUUUAUAUCCAUACAAAGGUGUGAAACGAUAGUUUAGCAAAUAUGACAAAAGUCACUUCUCUUUCAUCAUCUUUUAUUGAUUUAUUUCCUUCUCCAUUACUUAUUUUUCUUAAUAUGUAAUCUAAAAUUUCCAUUACCUCUCUUUCAUAACAAGUAAAAAUAAUCUAAUAUUCCAUCAUCCAUAAUAACUAUCAAUCUUCUUUUCUUUUAUUUUUUUCUCUUAUUUCUAUCAAAUUUUUAUUUACUUUUUACUCCUAUUUUUCCUCAUUCUUCAAUCUUAAUGUUAUAAUUUAACCCAAAAGCUGUUAUCUUAUAUUCCAGCUCUACUAUUUUGUAGCUCGUCUCAACGAGUUAUGGUGAGUUGAGCAAAAUAGGUGGGCCACUGACUCAUCAACUCAAUUUGAAUCGGUUUAUUUUGACUAAGUUUCAUCUCUUGGUUUUCACAUAGUUUGUUGUUGUUGGAUGGAUCUAUUGUUCGGGCAGUAGUAUAGUAGUAUCAAACGAGAAGUUUUUUAGAAACUCUUCAAAAAUAUCUUAAAUCAAUAAAAAAAUCAUUUUUUUUCUAUAAAUUUUUCUUUCCAAAAUAAACUUUUUUCUAAAGUUAUAUUGUAAUUAUUUUUCAGUUUUUUCAGUUAUUUUUUUAAGUUUUUAGCUGUUAAAAUAAAAACUCAACCAAAACUGUAAAUUAAAAUAAAAAUUAAAUAACUAUAUUUUUAAUAUUUUAGUACAAUAAAAAAAUUAUAAAUUAAUAUUUUUUAGAUUUUUUUAAUCUAAUUUAGAUGUAUGUUAUGUUUAUAUAUUAACUAAUAAGUUAUAGAUAUCUAUUUAUUAGUCCUAUACCAAUAAAUUAUAGGUAUAUGUUUAUAAUUUUAAAUAAUAGAAUAUUAUAUAAAUUAUUGAACUAUAGUUAAUAUUUAUUUACUAAUUUUAAGUAAUAAAAUAUAUAAUAAUAAUUUAAUAUUUAUUAUUUUUCUAUUUGUUGUAUUGUAUUUAUAAUAUUAUAUUAUUUUAUGAUGUAUAGACAUUAUAUUUAUUGUGAUGUGUAAAUCUAAUAAACCUGUUAUUUAUUGUGAUGAUAUAUAGAUGUUACAUUUAUUAUAAUGUGUAGAUAUAUUUUUAUUGCGAUAUAUAGAUAUGACGUGGAUAAUAAUUUUCCAUCAAACUAAUUUUUCUCCAGAUUCUUCAUGGUUUAAUUAAUAAAGUUCUCAUUUAUUAAAACAAAAUAUUGAUCUCAAAGUUCGAUAUGGGUCUUUGUCUCUGAGAAGCUUUUGAAAUAUAAUUAAUGUAAAAUAUUAAACAAUUCCUGCGAAACUCUUGAAAUAUAAUCAAUGUAAAAUAUGGUACUAUGUUAUGUUUCCACCCUUUCCUUUUCGUCAAAUAAACUUGAGCUUUAAUCAAUGUAAAAUAUAGUAUUAUCCUAUGUUUCCUCCCUCUCCUUUUUGUCAAAUAAACUUGAGCUUGAUUCAAGCUUUCCAUAUGAUUAUAGACCAACUAAUUAAUAAACAAAACCUAAAUUCAUGAAGUAUUGUUCAUUCUCUCGGUCUAUAGUUUCAUAAUUCAUCCUUUAUAAGAAUAUAUAUAUAAAGAAAAAGAGUAUCUAAUGGAGAUCAUCAAUACAAAUUCAUUAAUCUUAAUGAAUUGAAUAUGCAUCUUGAAUAUGUCAAAAUUUUAUUUCCAAACUUCUUGAGAAGCCAGAUUGGUUACAGAAUAGCUAUGCAUCUUGAGUUAUUUUACAUAAUUAAACAUAUUUAAUCUAGAGUUUAGUCCAAAAACUCGUAUGGAUGCAUGGAAUGGACUCAUUGAGUAGCUUCCACACGAAUUUGACUAAUUCGAUGGACUCAUUGAACAAUUAGAUGGGCGUAACGCCUUGAAUAGCUACUAUACUCGUUGAUUAAUUAGAUGAAAUCUUUGAGUACUUAGAUUUUAGUUUUUUAGGACCUUUCAAUAAUUGGACAGGUGUAAUAUAAUGGCGGCUAUAGUGAUACUGAAAAUGCCAGAGUUAAUCUUUGAAUACACUGGGGGCUUUCGCAUUUGCUCUUUUAAGUUAUUUAUUUUCCUUAACAAAGUUCUAAUACAGUUAAAGUACCAGUCUCUGAGUCCUGAGUCCUAAAGUUUGAGCUCCAGUCCUACGUUAAUGGAGUUGGGUAGGCUCAUGACAUAUUAAUUAACAGAGGACCCACAUAAACUUAUUAUAGAUUUUGCAACAGUCAUGAUACAUGGCUACUACGUAAUCAUCAUUUUCUAAUCUCACAGCAACAGCUGCGAAGGGCUAGUGAUCACUGAUCAUGAUCUUUAUUAACUACUUCAUAUAUAUAUAAUCCUGCGACUUUAGAACCGGCAUUCGGUUGGUGAGACGCCGCACAUUGAUGGCAAAUUCGCAGCUGUCCUGAAAGCCUCAAAAACAUCCUGACCUUGAAGUUGCCCCUGGCUCUGUUGCUGCUCAAUAGCCUGCCUCAGACCCUCGCAUCUGCACUGUGACUGCAUCUGCUUGAGAUGGUCACAGCACCCACGAAGAGACCGUUCUUGAUUGUCACUUCUUCUUGGUCCCUGUCCGGAAACUUGUUGUUUGAUAUAUUCCUGGCAUUGCCUGAGAUUUUGUUGCUCUUGAAUCUGCCCACGACACCCCUGCUGGCUUGGGUUUGUUCGAGUUUGGCGCAUGCAACGCACACCGCAAGAAGAUACAAUUUCACCUGCUCUCUGCGCCACUCUUUCAGACUCUUCUCCAUGUAGCUGUCCCUGCUGAAUCUGAUCCUCUGCGAUAUAUUUGAUUGCUUCACAUUGGCAUUCAUCUCUUACUUGCUUUACCUGAUUGCAGCAUUGCUGGAGUUGCUGGCUCUCCUGCUGCUGGUUUUCAUCUCCAGGCAUCCUUAACACUUCUUCUCCUGGUGAUCUUCUUGAACUUGAUUGCCUCAGGUAUCGCUCGCAGGAGCUCAAGUCCUUCCUCUGAACUUCCUGGCGGCAUUGCUGCGAGCUCGAUCCUUCCCUUUCACCCUUUGACUCGUCAAUCUCAAUGGUGGUGAUGGUGGUCCUGUAAGCGAAAGACGCAUUGGCAAUGAUGAACAAGAGAACACUAACGAGAGCAAUUGUGG